rnacentral:lncRNA from 1 species
GUUCACACUCCAUUCCCAAAAGAGAGAAGAAAUGGAUAGAUAUUCUUUAAUUCUGCUGCUGAUAAUUACAUAAAUGUAGGUAAGUUCAUUUUUUUUUAAAAAAACCUUAAGGUGGGGGCUGGAGCAAAGCUCAGCAGUACAAUACUUGCCUAGCAUGUGUGAGACACUGGGUUCGAUUCUCAGCACUGCAUAUAAAUAAAUAAAAUAAAUGUCCAUCAACAAUUAAUAAAAAAUGGCCUGGGGGCUGGGGAUAUAGCUCAGUUGGUAGAGUGCUUGCUUGGCAUGCACAAGUCCCUGGGUUCAAUCCCCAGCACCACACACACACACAAAAAAAAAAAUGCCCAAAGGUGGGGCUGGGAAUGUAACUCAGGAGAAUAGCACUUACCUAGCAUGUGCAAAGCCCUUGGUUUAAUCCUCAGCACUUCAAUACCAAAACAAACAAAACCCAUAAGGUAACCACAAAUUGAAUUAAAAGCAAAGAUAGAAGCCAGACCUUGGUGGCACACACCUAUAAUCCCAGCUACUUGGGAGGCUAAGGCAGGAGGAAGCUUAAAGCUAGCUUGGGCCACUUAGUAAGACCUGUCUCAAAAUAAAAAGGGCUUGGGAUGUAGCUUGGUAGUAGAGUGCUUGCUUAGCAUAUGUGAGGUCCUGGGUUCACUCCCCAGUACCAUGAAAAACAGACACACACAAAACAGAGGUAGAAUUUCCAAAUCACUUGAAAAGAAUGAGAAAUAGUUCCAUAACAAAAGGUGGAAUACUAAGGAAACAUCAAGGAAGUAUUUAAAAUACUGAAAACAUCAAACGACAUAAUUUAAAUUCUGACAAUAAUUGUGUGUGUGUGUGUGUGUGUGUGUGUGUGUGUGUAGUACUGGAUACUCAGCGCUUCAUCACUGAGCUACAUCCCCAACCCUUUUUAUUUUAUUUUCAUUUUGAGACAGGUUCUUGCUGAGUUGCCAAGGGUGGCCUUCUAAUUGCAAUCGCCCUGCCCCAGCUUCCCAAGGAGCUAAGAGUACAGGUGUGUGCCACUGCCCUGGCCCAAAAGUAUUCUGAAUAAAAGCCAGUCCUGGGUUUUCUUGCUUUAUCUUACUUGCCUGGUUGUUCUGGGAUCAGCUUUAGAGAAGGAAAAGUUUAUUUUGUGGCUCAUGGUUUCAGAGGUCUUAGUCCAUAGACAGCUGACUCCAUUCUUUGGGACCCAAGUGAGGAUGAACAUCAUAGUGGAAGACCGUGGCAGAGGAAAGCAGUUGGGAACAUGGCACCAGAGAGCAAAGAAGGAGAGCGGGGCUCAGCUUUAUAGAACAGAGUGCCCGUGACAUUCCCUAAGGUCAAUUCCUGCAUUUUAUAUUUCACGUUACACCCCUCCAAUUUUCUCAGGUAAGCUUUAUUGAACUCAACUAUUCUAAUAUUCAGCUGAGAAGCAAGGUAGCCAUUCCACUACUCUGCUUCCCCCAAACUGGCAUCAUUCUUGGUGAAUGCAAUGUUAGGUCCAAUAUUUCACUGGGGCACUUUAUUGGGACUUUGCUGGACAGUCAAUGUCAUUGGAUAGGUUUUCUGGAAGUAGAAUUUGAGAUGGAGUUUGGAAUACAACAACUUUAUUAGGGAUCAAUUCCUGCAAAGGGAAGCAGGAGGAGGCAGGAUUGGACAGAGGGAAAGCUGAAGGGUGACACAGGCCACACAAACACUUGGCCAACCCAGUGGAGAUCUCUGGGACAGGGAUGGCACAGCAGAUGCCUCCUGUUUGAAGGAGACUAUAUUCCCAGGAAGGGCACAAUCACAGGAGGGUGGCGCUUGACUCUGCAGCUGGAGAAGACCUUGAUGGCAUUGACAGUUGGAGACUGCCUGUGUGUUAUAUUCCCUGCAGCUGCGCAGCGGGCCCUUGAAAGGAGGUCUGGGUAGUGUGUAUCCUUCUCUAUCACUGCCAGGAAAGUCGUGGGGAGAGGGGAUGAGAAAAGAAAUGGAUAGCCACUGGGUACUUAAUGGGGACCUAGGUAAAAAAUCUCAUUUUUUCCCAUUACUACACCACAUGGUCCUGGACUAGUGACUUCACUAUUCUAUGCCUCAGUGCCCUUAAGACUCAUUUGAGGGUUGGGAAAUAAAUUCAUUCGUUUUUCUGAUAUAUGUUGACUGAAUUGCUACAUUUUCCAGGCACUGUGCUGGAGUGUAAGAAUGGACAAAAUAGAUAAAAUCAUUACCCACAGGGAGUUGACAUUCCCCAUGAUCUUGUAACAUCUACCUAGUGACACAGAAUAAGAGUAGCAGUGACCCCUGGCCUUGCUUGUCAUGAAUGUGACACACAGUGAACACCUUGACCUCAAUACAUAUGCAGAUAGAUGACAGCUUGGUAUCAUCUGUCACCUGGAUCUACAUGAGAACCAGAAGGAGGGAGCCACAGUGGGUUCUUGAGCAGGAAUACAGAAAUAAAUAUGGAGAUUUAGAAGAGCUAUACUAGUGGCAGUCAAGAAAAAGAAUUUUUACUGCAUAUCUCUCUGCUCCUCCUCACAUGGGUCAAAUAAGGUCAAAUAAACAGGUAGGCCUAGGCCAUUCUGUCUGCUCUGUAAUAUUUUUAUUUUUGAUGUGUUUAUAGGCAAGUUAUUGAUUUUUUGUGGAGUGGGGAUUAAAUGUAGGGUGCUUAACCACAGAGCCACAUCCCAGCCAUUUUUUUUUUGCGUUUUAGGUAGAGACAGCAUCUCUCUGAGUUGCUUAGUUCCUCAUUAAGUUGCUGAGGCUGGCUUUGAAUUCAUGGUCCUCCUGCCUCAGCCUCCUGAGCCACUUGUGUGUGCCACCAUGCCUGGCCAUGCUUUCCUAUCUUUGGAGGGCAUCCACAAAUAAUUUUGUAAUGAUUAUUAAAUGAAAGAAUCUCUUUAUGAUUAUUAAUAAAGACUAAUAAGCAUUGUGGGAUGUGGUGGUGCAGACCUAUAAUCCCAGCUACUCAGGAGGCUGAGGCAAGAGGAUCGCAAGCUUGGGGCCAGCCUGGGGAACAUAGGCACUCUGUCUUAAAAUAAAAUAAAAAAGGCUGGGGAUGUAGCUCAGUCAUAGAGCAUCCUGUAUUCAAUCAAAACAACAACAACAACAACAAAAAUCCUCCCAAAUAACUAGGACUACAGAUGCACACCACCAUACCUGGUUCAGUUGGGAAUGCCUAUGAAAUUAGCUCUGACAUUAUGUGCUCCUGACAUCUGUUCUUAAGUAAAGUGUCAGUCCAUUUUAGAAUAUGAAAAAGAACAAUGAAAAAUGAAGCUUUGAGAAGUGAAAUUGAUUUGCCUUGGUUUAUAAUGCCCGAGUCUUAGAGGAGCCUACACAAUGUGUUCACAUCUGAGAGAAGUUUACUUAAUUUUAAUGGACCUAUUUGCUCAUCCUCUUGGUUUACUAUUAUUGUCUUUGCUUAAAUCAUGAAUGGUUAGCUAGAUGCAGUGGUGUAAGCCUGUACCCCAGCAACUCAGGAGGUUGAGGCAGGAGGAUUGCAAGUUCAAGGCCAGCUUUGGCAAUUUAGUAAGACCCUGCCUCAAAAUUAAAAAUGGAGCUGGAUGGGGUGGUGCACACUUGUCAUCCCAGCAAUUUGGAAGGCUGAGACCGGAGGAUCACAAGUUCAAGGCUGGCCUCAUUAACAUAGCAAGGCCCUCAGCAAAUUAUUGACAGCCUGUCUCAAAAUAAAAAUUAAAAAGGGAAUGUAGCUCAGUAGUAAGCACCUCUAGGUUAAAUCCCCAGUACCAAAAAAUAAAUAAAAUAAAAUGAUAAAAAAGGGCUGAGGAUGUAGCUCCAUGGCAAACCGCCCCUGAGUUCAAUCCUCAGCAUUCCCACCCAAUAAAAAGAAUAAAAACAUGAAUGUUUAUUACUUACUUUCUGUUUAAUCUGCCUAGAGAGCAAAGACUCUGUGUCUAACUGGAGUAUUUUUCCAUGCUUUGUCGUUAUCAUUUUUGGUGUUGGGGAUCAAACCCAGGGCCUCAUACAUGCUAAGCAUGUAUUCUACCACUUAGCUAUAUCCCAGCCCCCAUUUUGUACUUUAUAUUGGCUUUAUGAUAUCCUUGAUUUUGGAGAAAAAUAUGAAGAAUACAAUUUUCUCAAUUAAGUUUUUUAGAAUUAUGUUGCAUUUUCUUUUCUUUUGUUUUCUUUGUGAAUGGUGGGAUGUGGUGUGCAUGCGCAUUCAUGCAUGGUACAGAUGAAACCCAAGGCUUUGCAAAUGCUAGGCAAGUGCUCUACAGCCACAGCACCAGUCCUAAUCGUGUUAUUUUCUAUGUUUAUUUUUAUAUGUUUUAUUGUCCUUUGGUUAAAUAGGAAACUGAUACUAUGUCUCAGGCACCUAUGAUCCUGUUUUAAUGAAGUGUCCAAAUCUCCUGUGAUGAAGUUUUUGAUUUUUGCCUUACCCAAAUCACACCUAAAUAUUGAAAAAAAUAAAUUAGAUUGAUGUUUUAGGAUCUCUUCUGUGCCUAGAGUGCCUAGAACUCUCUUUGAGAUUUCACCAGGACACUUAGAAAAAAUCAUGCUAGGCAAGUGCUUGACCACUGACUUACACCCCAGCCAACUGAUAUUCUUGGCAUAUUAUGGGUACUAUAUCUCAGUGUUAUUAUAUAUUAUAUAUCGAGAUAUUUCCUCUAUAAAAAUUUUGUUUAUCUACUUUUAUAAAUCAGAGGUGACAUUCACUGGCUUCUUUGAAAAUAAGCUUGAUCAUUAUCCUUUGAGACAUUUUGUCUAAAAAUUUUUUUGAAUCACUUAAAACUAGAAACAUUUUAUCUUACUCUUUCUUUUGAUCUGGAAUCUAGGUGCAGCUUUGGCUCAGGGUCUCUCACCAGGUUUCAUUGGGGCUGCAGUCAUUUGAAGGUUUACUGGGGUUGGAAGAUUCUGCUUCCAAAAAGUCCCACUCAUGUGACUGAUGGUUGGUGUUGGCUGUUGGCAGGGGCACUUCAGGUCUCCAUGUGGCUUCAGCCUCCAGGGACCCUCUUUUUCUUUUUUAAAAAUAUUUUAAUGGACUUUUAUUUUAUUUAUUUAUUUAUAUGUGGUGCUGAGAAUCAAACCCAGUGUCUCACACAUGCUAGGCAAGUGCUCUACCACUAAGCUACAACCACAGCCCUAAGGACUCUCCUUUUCAUGUAACCAUUUUAACAUCCUGGACUUCUUUACAUGAUAGCUGGACUCCAAUCUGAGAAGGAGGGAGAAAGGGAAGGAGAGAAAGAGCAAGUGGAAGAGAUCAUAUCUAAAGUGGAAACUGCAGUCUUUUAUGUAUUAAUAUCUAUUCUGGAACAGUCCUGUUUUAGUGUAUGAAAACUGGCCCCAAGUGCCAUGAAACCAAAGAAAGAGGCAUAUUGAUCAAAGAUUGUACAGAGUGCAAUUUACUGAGCACUUACUAAUAAAAAUGUGUUACAGUGGCAGCAAGACCAGUGGAUUCCUGUGAUUUGGGUCAGGAACCUUUGUGGUGCUGAAUGCCAGUGUCCAUCAUAAAGCUUCAACACAUAACACUCUAAUGGUUUUGUCUAUUUGUAGGAUGCUGGGAAACUAUGAGGGACAAGUCACCAGGGUUAUUCAGAGGCAGUCAUGGUGGUUAUGACUAAAGAUGACUAUAGUCAGGUCAAAUGAAUCCAUUAAAUAUCCCAUCAUGCUGGGUGCAGUGGCGCACGCCUGUAAUCCCAGCAGCUGGGGAGGCUGAGGCAGGAGGAUCAUGACUUCCAAGCCAGCUACAGCAAUGGCAAGGCACUAAGCAACUCAGUGAGACCCUGUCUCUAAAUAAAAUACAAAAUAGGGAUGUGGCUCAGUGGUCAAGUGCCUCAGAGUUCAAUCCCCAGUAAUAUAUAUAUAUAUAUAUAUAUAUAUAUAUAUAUAUAUAUAUAUAUAUAUCUCACAUCAUUUCUGCCAUAGUCUAUUAGAAGCGAGUCACUAAAUCCAGUCCACACUCAGAGGAAUGGGAUUUUGCAAGGGUAUACACACCAGGAGAUGGAGAUAAUAAGGGACCAUCUUGAAGCUGCAUACCACACUGCCUUUAAAGUAUGUGGGGCCUCAGACAAAUAUGGCCUACAUCCAUAUAAACAAUUAAAGUAAAAAUACACUAUAAUAUCAUAGGUUCAUGUUAGAUAUUAUGAUUUAUUGGUAAAGAUUUAGAUAAAUAUGUAGAGAAGAAAUAUUUAUAUUCUCAUCUACUCCAGCCACAUGAAGACCCUGCAUAGUUUUCAAGCUUCAUCUCCCCCUUUUCAGGUCCAGGAAAACCAUUUUCUUUCUUGUUUGCAGGGGGGUACCUGGGAUUGAACUCAGGGGUACUCAACCACUGAGCCACAUCCCAAGCCCUAUUUUUGUAUUUUAUUUAGAGAUAGGGUCUCACUGAGUUGCUAGUGCCUUGCUGAAUUUCUGAGCUGGCUUUGAACUUGUGAUCCUCCUGCCUCAGCCUCCCGAGCCACUGAGAUUACAGGCAUGUGCCACUGUACCUGGCUAGAAAAAACAUUUUCCAUGUCCUUUUUUCUUUUUUUCUUUCUUUCUCCUUCUCUCCUCCUCCUCCUCCUCCUCCUCCUUCUUCUUUUUUUUUUUUGUGUAUGUGUGUGUGGUACAGGGAACCCAGGGCCUAACACAUACUAGGCAAGUGCUCUACCACUGAGCUCUAUCACCAGAACUUUUUAUUUUAUUUUGUUUUGUUUUAUUUUGAGACAGGGUCUCUCUGAGUUGCCCAGGCUGGCCUCAAAUAUGUGAACCUACUGCCUCAGCCUCCAAGUAGCUGGUGUGAGCCACAAAGAUCAGCUCCAUGUACUUUAUUUAUGUUCUUUAUUGUCAAAUACGCUAUUUCUGGCUAACUUCAUAUCUCCUAUCACAAAAAGGUAGGAACACUGUUGCUUCUCAGAAUGUUUGUAUUGUAGACAUGUAGAUCUUCUUGCCUCUGCAGGUUUGAGUACCAUUUAUUCAAAUUAUUUUUACUUUUUUUGAGGUACUGGGAAUUGAACCCAGGGCCUUGCACAUGCUAGACAAGUACUUUACCAUGGAGCUACAUCCACAGCCUCCUUAAAUUACUUACUGCUGAUUACAUUAUUAUGCAUGACUCAUCAUCCAUCGGGUUGCCAUGGAAAAUGGCCACCAGUGAUUCAUAUUGUGUUACUGUGCUUCGUUAAUAAAGACCACAGAAGCUUUGGAGUAUGCCAAAAAAUAUGAACAGUACUUAAUUCUCUGGUUGUUGUAAAUUUACCAUCUGAAAUUUUAUAGCAAAAACGUUUAACAGCACAUCUUCUGUCUUCUUUUAAACUCUUUAAACAGUAAUCACUGCAUUCCUAAAAUGAAAUGUCUUUCAAGGUUGACUGUUCAACUGCUUUACACACAGCACCUCCAGUGGGGAGGAUUGGCAAGGAGCCCAUGGUCCUCACUUUGUACAAAGAAUAUACAUUUCUCGUCUGACAUGGCUUUAGCCUGACCUGGGGAAUCAUUACACUGAUGGGAGCUGAGAGAGGACAUUGGUUCUAAGGAGUUAUGGAGCAAUAGUCUUGAAAGUUGUUGGGAGAACAUAGUUAUGACCCAAAGGAUGCCUGAUACCAUAUGUAGAACCUCUGGAGGGAAUGACUGCCCUGGAUAACAGUGGCACAGACACACACAGGAAAAAAAAGGCAUCUGCCACUACCCCUAACACUUUUGGAUGCUCUACACUGGAGAUGGCACCUCAAUUGGAAUACUGAUGAGUGAGAGCUGAUGCAUGGGCCUCCACAUGCAACUCAAGCUCCAGGGUUCACAGUGAUUAUUGAUAGCCUAGAGUUCUGAAAUUGUCUUGUAGAUGACUUAAAUAAGAGCCACCCAAAAUCAGCAUGUCAGUACCACUCUGAGGCCCAAUCUCAUGGGAUCUAGUGAAAGAAAUGCCACACCAGCCAGCAGGAGUGAUCUACUUGCCAAGUCACUUUCCCACUACUGGCCAUGGAGCUUUAGAAAAUCUAAGUAUAAAUAACAGAGUUCCUAAGGCUUCCAUCUGACCUACACAUAGGGUAAAGGGCAAGACCACCUCCAACAAGAAGAAAUGGGGCUCAGGGACAAAUGGGUCCCAGUUCAGAUUCAGGGCAUCUUACUCAUGUGGCACUUGUGGCUCCAACCACUCCAACCAGUCAGUUACCAAAAGGGAUUUUAGACCAUUUUGAGGAAGGUACUCCAAAGCAUGUGUUCUGAGGUUUAGGACUUAGAGCAGAGGUCCAAUUUGAAUUGCCUAUGCCUUAGGUAGAAAUCAUACUAGGGAGCUGGUAGGGAUGGUGUAGCAUACUGGUAAAGCACUUACCUAGCAUGUGCAAGGCCCUGGGUUCCAUCCCAGCACUGAAAAAAAAAAAAAACAUUCAUUUCCCUAUCAUCUUUCAUUAAGAAAUUAUGAAAGUUAACCUGUAAUAUAUUAGUAUGUUUGUUUUGUUUUGGUACUGGGGACUGAACUCAGGGGCACUAGACCACUGAGCCACAUCCCCAGCCCCUUUUUUAAAUUUUAUUUACAGACAGGGUCUCACUGAGUUGCUUAGAGCCUCACUGUUGCUGAGGCUGGCUUUGAACUCUCAAUCCUCUUGUCUCAGCCUCCCGAGCUACUGGGAUUACAGGUAUAUGCCACCAUGCCCAGCCUUAGUGUGAUUUUUUUAAAAUAUUUUUUUAGUUGUCAAUGGACCUUUAUUUUACUUAUUUAUAUGUGGUGCUGAGAAUCGAAUCCAGUGUCUCACACAUGCUAGGCAAGUGCUCUACCACUGAGCUACAACUGCAGCCCCAGUGUGAUGUUUUUAUAAUACAUCUGCAAAUUCUUUGAUAUUCCUUUAUGUUAGUCAGCUUUCCAUUACUAUAACAAAUAGCUGAGGUACUUUGCCCUUAAACUGAAAAGGUUUAUUUUGGCUCAGAGUUUGGAGAUUUUAGUCUAUGAUUGAUGUGUUCUGUUCUUUUUUGGGCUUGUGACAGCAUGUCAUGGCAGCAGUGUGUGGCAAAAUCAUAAAACCAUUCACCUCAUGGUUGGGACAAAAGAGAGAGAGAGACAGAGACAGAGACAGAUGGACAAAAAAGAGCAAGAAGGUGCAUGGUCCCACUCUCCUUCAAGGGCAUGCCCCCAAUGAUCAGAAGACCUCCCAUUAGACACCCCUUUUUUGGUACUGGGGGUUGAACCCAGAGAUGCUCUGUCACUGAGCUACAUUCCCCAGCCUUUUUCAUUUUUCAUAUGGGACAGGGUCUCACUAAGUUGCUGAGGGUAUCACAAAGUUGCUGAUGCUGGCGUUGAAUUUGUGAUUCUCCUUCCUCAGCCUCCUGAGUUGCUGGGAUUAUAGAUGUGUGCCUUGGUGUCUGGAUUAGGACCUACCCACCCCACCCCCUUUAAAGUUUCUGCCACCUUCCAAAAGCACCAAGCUAAGGAUCGAGCCUUUAACACAUGAAAAUUUGGGGGACCUUCCAGGGGCAAACUACAGAAUUCUUCAUUCAUAAGACGAUGCUUCAUUUCCCUCCCCUUGAGAGUUAUCUAGACUUAGUAACUCAAUUAUUUAUAUAUAUAUAUAUAUAUAUAUAUAUAUAUAUUAUUUAAAUAAUUUUUAUUUAAAUAAAUAAAUAUUUAAAUAUUUAUUUAUUUAAAUAUUUUUAGUUGUAGAUGGACACAAUAGAUUUAUUUAUUUUUUUAUGUGGUGCUGAGGAUGGAACCCAGUGUCUCACACAUGCAAGGCGCUUUAAGCACUCUAAGUACUCUACCGCUGAGCCACAGCUUCAGCCCCUUAGUGAGUCAAUUCUAACAAUUAGAAUUUCAUGAAGAGACAGUGUGAAAACUAACAAGACUACUUGAUAAAAGCAUUGUUGUUUCUUUCUUUCUCAUUCUCAGAUCACUUACCCUGGGGGAAGCCAGAUGCAGUUUUGUCAGGACACGUCAGUCAGCUGUGGAUGGGCCCAGGUGGUAAAGAACCCAAGCUUCCUGCCAACAAUCAUGAUGGCAGACCCUCCUGCCCAAAUAAGUCUUCAGAUGAGUCCACAGUCCCAACCACAUCCUGACUGCCAACCUCCUGAGAAUUAGCACCAGAAACAACUAGAUAAGACACUUCUGGCUCUCAGAAAAUGUGCCAGAGGUCUUCAAUUGCUGAGUUUGGGGAAUCAUUUGUUGCAUAGCAAUAGAUAACUAGUGCAAACACUACUGGUUAAAGUUGUUCAAUAAAACUUUAUAAAUUCAGGUUUCCAGUCCAUGAGUGUCAUAAAAUAUGGGGGAUAUAUUUGGCUUUCUUCAGUGGAAGAAUCUUCUCAUUAAAGUUUGUGAACAGCCAUUAAUUUUACAGUAGUCCCCUGUAUUGAGGAGGAUAUGUUCCAAGAUCCCCACUGGAUGACUAAAACCUCAAUAGUAAGAAUUCUGGGGCUGGGGAUGUGGC